UAAGACAGAGGGUGCUAGCGUUGUUCGGAAUGACUGGGCGUAAAGGGCGCGUAGGCUGUUAAUCAAGUUAGGUGUGAAAGCCCUGGGCUUAACCUGGGAACUGCAUUUAAUACUGAUUGACUGGAGAGCGAGAGAGGAAAGCGGAAUUCCUAGUGUAGAAGUGAAAUCUGUAGAUAUUAGGAGGAACACCAGAGGCGAAGGCGGCUUUCUGGCUCGCAACUGACGCUGAGGCGCGAAAGCGUGGGGAGCAAACAGGAUUAGAUACCCUGGUAGUCCACGCCGUAAACGAUGAGUGCUAGACGUUGGACGUUUACGUUCAGUGUCGGAGUUAACGCAUUAAGCACUCCGCCUGGGGAGUACGGUCGCAAGAUUA
rnacentral:rRNA from 1 species